rnacentral:lncRNA from 1 species
UGUUGAUGGGCAAGUAGCAAUAAGGAUGAAAUUUCUGUUAAUAUAUCUAAAGUAAAACCAAGAAGACAAUAUAACCUGUGUCUUCUCAGUUCUUACUGCUCUGUGUCGAAGACUACAGCAGAAAGACCUGUCUGGAAAAUCAUAAGUUCUCAUCGAUAACAAUUCUUUUUUUAUUAUUAUUAUUUUUCAGUUUAGCUAAUGAUGUGCUUAUCUAGUGCAGAACUAUCAGCUAAAACUGGAAGCCUGUGGGGAAGCCCUUCCCAACCAAAUGUUUUUAUGUGUAGUGUUUGGGAUCUUCCUGCACAUGCAGAACACUACAAGCCCUUUGGAAGGAACUGCUGUAUCUUGCUGAAUCUGUCACUGCAUCUGUCAUUGCAAGUGACCCAUAUUUAAAAGGAUUGCAAGUGUCUUUCAGUCACAGAAGAUGGGUCAUCUUGCCCUCAGGCUGAUGCACAGGAAUGACUGGAAGUACCUGGAGAGAGUAAAGACAGCACAACAGAGAGAAAGCAGUUUCAUUAAACAAAAUGAAGGCCAAGGACUUAGACUUUUCCUAGGACUGCAAAGUAAAGGGUAAAAAUACAGAGUGGAAUAAUGAAAACAGAACAGGGUGACACCAGAAGAACAGCAGAAGCUCCAGCACAGGCUGUUACAAGAUAAGAGUCACCAAAAAGAAUACGAGAACACCUGCAAACAUACAGCUGUCAUACCAUCUAUUCUUUAUGGACAAGAAGGUUUAAUUAGCAAUCCGAAGCCUUCCCAAAAGGAGAGAUGAAUUUUGCUUCCUCAUACUUCCCUACAGAGCCAUACACAAAGUAUCAUGUGAUUCCUUCUUCCAAAGUCUCCUGGUGUUGACUUGUGUGUUGAGAGAAGGACUUGUAGUAAUACGUUUAAGUUUUGAGGGCUAUGUACCCAACACCUGAAACCUCCCAUCAUUCCUUCAAAUUGCAAAACUACAUUUUUUGAUCUAAUCAGUAAAGAAAGAAAAUACUUCAUAUCCUGGGGAGUUUUGUUUUUGAAGCAUGCAGAACUAACCAAAACACACUUCUUUUUUUAUUGUUAGGUUUGCCACUAUUGCAGAGGAUAGUUGCAAAGAAAACCUUAAUUUUACCAAGAAGACAUAAAGAUAAGAAGCAAAAGCUCUUCGUGUAUGAUUCUGAACAUAUAGUCCAGUGCUUUCAACAAUAAAGGAAAGUACUGCACAUUAAAUAGGUUCA